UACGAAGGGGGCUAGCGUUACUCGGAUUGACUGGGCGUAAAGGGCGCGUAGGCGGUUUGUACAGUCAGACGUGAAAUUCCUGGGCUCAACCUGGGGGCUGCGUUUGAUACGUGCAGACUUGAGUUCGGAAGAGGGUCGUGGAAUCCCCAGUGUAGAGGUGAAAUUCGUAGAUAUUGGGAAGAACACCGGUGGCGAAGGCGGCGACCUGGUCCGAUACUGACGCUGAGGCGCGAAAGCGUGGGGAGCAAACAGG
rnacentral:rRNA from 1 species